CGGAGAUCCUCAUCCUAGACUGCAUUGUGAGACCUCAUGCUGAGAACCCAUCCAGACACCUCCAUCCCAAGACCCCCAUCGUGACACCCUGGGCCCAUUAGCCCCUGUGUACUCAAGGGAAGUCGACAAGGUGGAGCUGAGGAGACCCCAAAAUUAGAAGUUGAGAAGAUGAAUUCUAAAAACAGCUCUCAGCCCUGCUUAUCUGUCUGUGAAGAAGAAAGGGCCCAUCCAAGCUGCUAAAUCGAAUUUGGAUGUCAGAAGGCAUGUACAGCACCCAAACUGCCUGUGGCCAAAACAGGGCCCUUCCCCAGGGACACAAAAGCUGACAGGGCUGUGACAGUAACUUGAGCUGGCAGUGGAAGAGAUGCUGAGGUAAAGGCAAAUACUGACUGCCAACAUAGGAACACCCACCAUAAACAUCCUGCCUUGAGCCCACCUGGAGCAGUGACGCAGCUUCACCUCAGAACCCUUCAGCCACAGAUCCUCAGUCUGCCAGUCCCAAGCCUGGAUUGGAGUGCCGAGACCUCCUGUCUGCACUGCUGGGAGAACCGAACAGCCCGUGACAAGCAAUGGGCAUCUGCUCCUGGAGGCUGCAGGUAUAUCAUCCAGCCCAGCUUAUGGCAUGUUUUGCUAAAGUCUUAAUCCUUUGGAUGUUCUCCUUUUAUUUCUCAGCAUUAAAUUAGCCCUGUCUUGCAUUACCAAUACCGCACACUCCUCUAAUAAUAAUUCCAUAUUCUUUCUCUCUACUGCCCCAGUAACGGGCGGAAGGAAUCACAGGCUGUAGUUUUGCUUGCAUUUUCUUUAGCAAACGUGUUUUUUUUUUUCUUCAGGUUGAGUUAUAUUUAAUCUGGCUCAAUUCCCAAAUUAGGUUCACUGCCUGGCAGCAAGAGCAGUUGUACCUGCGCACUUGGGAGGAGCUGGGGAGCACAUGGAGCAGCUGCAGGACCGGGGCAGGGGCCAGCACGGCUGCUGCAUGAGGGGCUGUUGAAAUAUGGCCUUGUCUUCUGAUUUUCACAGGCAUUCACAAAGACAUGUAAGAAAUUGUCCCAAGGCACACAGGAGGCUGCUUAGAACAAACUGCCAGUCUUGGGAAUAUACAUGAUUUUCCAAGAUUUGUCCUUAGCCUAACUCAUGCAGACAGCCAUUAGGAGAGGGUGGCUGAAAUCACUCUCUGCCACUCAAGUCACCCUUUUCCCCUCCGCCAAAGGCAAAGGAGUAAAGCACAGGUGUAACAGCACAGACAGGGCAGUUCAAAGUGCCAGAAAAGGCUCUGGAACUUACACAGUCCCUGGUAUCUCCUUGAUGAAUCCUGAAGAGCCAAACCUGAUGCUGCGGUGAGGGCAGCUUGUCCCUCAGCAAAAGGAAAAUGGCAAAGACAAGCCACCAGUCCUCCAGGAGCUGCAUCCUGCCCAGCUUGUGCUCUCUCAGGUCUGAGAGAGCUGUCAGGGGUCUGUAGGUACCUUGUGGGUACAGCAUGGGUGCCAAAAGCCUCAGUCCCUAAAUACUAUAAGGUCAGGGCAGGAUUUUUCCCUGUGUGCUUUUGUGUUGUGACACAAGAACCAGCUUGCUGAAAACCACUGAUACAAGUUGCAAAGCUGUGUCUCUCACUGAAGAAAAAAUAACAGCAUUUAUUAGCUUUAACAGGAACAAAAAUGGAGAAGCAUUUUGGGACAAAAUCCUUUGACCGUGAAACAGAAAAUUCCCACUCCAGGGCAAGUGGCAUUGCAAAGAUGUGCUCUGGGUUUAAUUUAAUCAUGUCAAAAAUAAAAUAUGGUUAAUAGCUGUAAAACUAAGGCCAGAGGUUGCAAGUCCUGUGCAUCAGAGACAAGUAACUCUCACCUGAGCACAGUGAUGGUUUGGACAGUACAGUCGGCUAGAAACAGCAGAAUGCCCCCCAAUCAGUAUCCCGUGGCCAGCCUGGGAAGGAAAUAAGGUUCACUGAGAGCUGCAGUCACUAGCUCUGCUGUUACUCUGUAAUUGAAAACAGCAACUUGGUUUCUGGGAUCAGUUUCCCAUAACAAGGUCUUUAUUUCCCCAAAGCUUAUUUACUUUUCCAGGUUCCUAUGCUUCUCUGUAAGCCAGAUCUCCCCAGGAAAGCCAAUCUCUGAGCAAUCACAGAUAAAAUGCUGGUACUGAAAAAUGCUUCUCCAACAGCAACGAAAAAUAAAUCACAGCCUUUGGAAAAAAAAAAAAAAACAACCCCAAACAAAAAACAGUGUGAAAGGGUUAACAAAGAACAAGGUCAGCAGGCUCUGUGGAGGCACUGUCUGUGCUGGCAGCUCUGGCAUCUGGUCCUGAACCUCCCCGAGCCUGCACUGACUGCGGAUGGCCCGUGCCUGUGGUGCUGCUGCUGCAGAGGCCCCGCUCCUCUCCCUUCCGCAGGGCUGACUCACUGCAGCGCUCCCAGCCACGCACAAAACACAAAGGCACCAUGGCUGUGCCAGCACGGCCACCCCCUUCCCCUCUUCCAAACUGACCACUGAGUCAAUCCCUGCCAGCUGGGACUGCCCUCUGAUCUGCAGUGUGCUCCUGGCAGUAAAAGAAUUUCAAAAACCCCAAAGGUCCCUCAUAUUCUUAAUGCCUGAGUCACUUGAGAAAUGUGCUGAUGCAAUAGUACCUGCAAAGGACUUGAAAUGGGAGUUUUCAGCCGGGAGUCAUCACGGAGGAGGAUUGAGAGCAUCACAUGUAACGGCUGAAGCACUAGAGACUGUUAAUUUGUCCCUGGGUGUAUUUGCAGGUACUUGGCACAGUGAUCCUCCCCCAAUCCAUGCUCACCCCAGCUCUUUUCUUCUUGCAUGGGUUUAUAUAUUAAUGACAAAGGUUUAAUGUUCUAAGGCAUGAAGCAAAAUGCCAUUGAAGGGAUUUUUCCCUGCACUGGUUCUGCAAGUACCUAUUAACUGUCUGCAUGAUGUCACCAACCUACCAGGGACCUUAGGGUCCCUUGGAACAGGGGGCCUUUCAAUUGCUCAUUGCUUUUGGAGAUGAGAGCACUUACCUGUGCUCUCAAAUGCAUGACUGGCAGGAGGGUCCCUUCACAGAAUGUUAAGCAUAUUUGCAGCCCCAGACAGGACCCUCUCCUAUCCUUCCACACCAUUCCUCUCAGCAGAACUGCAAGCUGGCUGCAGCAUGCUCUCCAGAGCCUGGGUUUGGGAUUCACCUCCCAGGUGCAAGCUGUCGCACUGCACCAGGAAAGCCCCCUCUGCAGUCAGUGUGAGACACAAUUAACCUACAGAUUCUAUAAACGUUUAUGACCCCUGGGGAAAGCCUAAUUCAGAGAUUUAGUCUACUUUUGCUGAUGGAAAGGAAUGACCAAAACCCUUCAGAUAAGGAAUUUCUCCUUCUGCCAGCCACUGCUUCAGCAGGCAUGCAGGAUUUCCCUUCACUUGGCUUACACCUUUGUACAGCCCCACCACCAUCAAACACUGCCACAAGGCAAAGCACUGCCCAAGAAAAACCAGCCCAGUCCAGCACCAGCCCACUGAGAGGUGACCGUAUAGAUAUCAGUAUUCUAGCAAACAGCAAAAAAUAAAAAUAAGCCCAUUCCUUUGUUAAUAAUUACUGCUGACCCAGACAGGAUAACCAUCUCAUAGCUACAGUCUCCUGCAGACCCAGAAGGUGCAGGCAGUGGCACCAGGCCUGGGCUAGGCAACACCCUUGCCAGGUUAGACACUCCAAAAAGCUUCAGUGAAUUCCUUAUGUUCUGGCCACUGCUCUUCAUGGUACUCGCAUCACUCACUGGACAGGUAUCUUGGCGAAACACACAUAUUUAUUUUCAUUCCCAACCAGGUGAAACAUCCCUCCAAAUACAUCAACUUGGUUUGAUGCCAAAGGCACUGCUAGCACCAGGUGUCUGAAUAAUAACAUUUUGGCUUUACCACUGAAAGGGUCCAACACAUAUUUCCCAUAUAAGCUUGGCAGUACUCAAAUCCUCAGGCCAGAGGAGGCUGCUCCAGCACUUAGCAGCUGCAGCACCAGAAUCUCCCAGCUCAAAUGGUCCUGUGAUUUAUAAAAGAUAAAAAUACAAGUUCUUGACUGAAGCCAUUUUGUUGAUGAGACUAUUGUUGAAGUACUUCAGAGGCAAUUACUAUUCACAGUACAGCUUCCAAGCAGCUCAGCUUCUGCAGGGCCAGCACAAGGACAGGCUACUUGUUUCAUGACAAGGCAGCUCCUCUCCUGGUCACAGGCUGCAGCCUGCACCCUCUCUCCCUGGCCCUUGGCGCAGGCUGCAGCUUCCCCAACCCCUGGUUACAGAGCACCACACUGAGCCAGAUGUGAUCAGGGUGAGCACAGCCCUGCAUCCCUGCUCACCACGAAUAUGGCCCAUGGCACCAGCUGGGAACCACACUGCCAUGGCCUAGGAGAAAGAGAAAGUUGUGGCAGAGCUGGCAGCAUCACUCUGGCAUGCUGCCCAGUCACUUCAGGAACCUGCCUGCCUCAAGAGACCUCACCCUCUUCCCAAAGGAGCAGCAACAGCUGGAAAUCAGAGCCAGGGACUCAUUACAGCGAUGUAGUGAGGAAGUUUUAUUUGGAAACAUGGUAGAAGUUUGUAACCCAACACUGGGUGCACGACUGAUGCCGGAGCAUACGCAGUUACUAUUGAAACACGGGAGUGUUUCGGACAAUUGCUGUAAUAAAACACAAAAUUCUCAUACUCCAAUACCAGGACACUACAGCAAUCUUUAGAAUCAAAAUUACAUCCAAGGAAUUCUCUGCACUUACAAUUUACCCCACAGUGUAAUCUACCUAUAUAUAAGAUUAAUAUAUAUAGCAUGGGAAAUUGAAAAUCCUUGCUCCAUAGAUGUAUGAACAUGUCAAGUCUUUUAUAAAUAAACAUCCAGUGAAGAGAAAAAAAUUACAUUUCUAGUUCAUAUUUAUACAUAAAAUACUAACAGCAAUGGGUGGAAAAUUGCACAUGGGCCACCCCAAGCCAUGCAGCAGGCCUGGAGCAACCCAUCCAAGUUAAUAUUGAAGUACACACAGGACAGACGAGUCACUAACAUAUAUUGCGCAUUUACAAGAGAUCAACUACCAAAUUGGGACAACUGUACACAUUGGAGAAACCAUUUUCAUUCUGGAGCUUUUUUUUUGUUAAAUGUAGAUUUGUUACAUCUCUUUACAUCAUACCGCAACAUUUA